UAAUUUCAUUUCAGGUUCUUUCUGAGACAUGUUUUCAUGGUGUGGGAAUAAGACUUGGUGGUCUUAUACAGCUAAUACAAAGGUUAGCAUCACAGCUUGUCUGUAAGGAUUGAAGCUGGGAGUGGGCAUUGGAGCUGACUUUUAUGAUAACUGUGGCUGCAUAAAAUGGUUGUGUGAUAUAACUGCAACAGUAAAGAAUGUAAUUCAGACUAUUUUUGUGUAUGCUUGUGAAAAUGUUUAUAAUUUUUUUAUGUAAAGAUUCUCCAUUUUCAACAAGAUUGGAAGUUGUAGGUUAACUUGUAUUUGACAUUACAAAA